CCAAUUCCAAGGGCCUCAGCUAAGCCACUCAGAGAAAAAAAGACCUGAGCCUUAUUCGGAGAGAAAAAAAAAAAAUGGUGUGCAGCUGCAGCUUACCCCAUGUGACACUGCACAGAAUCCCAAAGAAAUAGAGGGGGAGAGACCCAGCCGUGCCUGCAGCCUGCCCCUCUCUCGGCUUGUGGCUAGGAUUAGGGAAAUGCUCUGACCUACACACAUGGACGGACGCCUGCUCAAAAGAUGUGGUCCCUGGACUGGAAGCUUCAGAAUCAUCUGGAAAUGUGCUAGAAAUUCAGGCUCCCAGGCCUCCCCUACCACUCCUUUACAAGUACACAAGGUCACUGGAUAGAUGGUCCCUUUGGAUCAUGUGCUCAUCCCUGUUCCAGUCAGCUGUGAUCAGAGGAGCAACACUGUGUGAGAUAAGGCUUGAAACCUAAGGAAUUUCAAAGAGGGGGCCACGAUGGGCAUUCAGCGGCAUCUCAGGAGGGGGCAGAGUAACAAGCAGGUGCUUUGCAUGCUGGUCUGGUGUGUCUGGAAAGGGCAUCCUGCUAAAACGUUUGUCAGGAAACUUCUCAUCAGCAUUUCCAGCAUGCAGGAGCAACCGAGAGAGCCACUUAGAUACCGUCUGAUUAUAAUGUGUUUCUCAGAGAAAUAAAUAUCCCAAAUGGAAGCACA